CCUACGGGUGGCUUCAGUGGGGGAUAUUGCACAAUGGGCGCAAGCCUGAUGCAGCGACGCCGCGUGAGCGAAGAAGUAUUUCGGUAUGUAAAGCUCUAUCAGCAGGGAAGAAAAUGACGGUACCUGACUAAGAAGCUCCGACUAACUACGUGCCAGCAGCCGCGGUAAUACGUAGGGGGCAAGCGUUAUCCGGAUUUACUGGGUGUAAAGGGAGCGUAGACGGUGAGACAAGUCUGAAGUGAAAGCCCGGGGCUCAACCCCGGGACUGCUUUGGAAACUGCCUGACUGGAGUGCUGGAGAGGCAAGCGGAAUGCCUGGUGUAGCGGUGAAAUGCGUAGAUAUUAGGAAGAACACCAGUGGCGAAGGCGGCUUGCUGGACAGUAACUGACGUUGAGGCUCGAAAGCGUGGGGAGCGAACAGGAUUAGAUACCCGUGUAGUC
rnacentral:rRNA from 1 species